GAUUUGAAGGUGAUCCAGCUGUGACAUCUGUCACCCAUUGAUCACCAAGAUGGAUUUGGCUGAUCUGGCUGGCUAGGUGGGCAUCCCCUUCCUCCCUCACUACCUCAUAUGUGUCCCUUCCAAAAGCUGCAUGCUUCAUCAAAGAGGAUCACCCUCCCUGGUAGAGGAAGACUCUUUUUUGGCAAGAGUAUAUGAGGAGCUGCGUUCUUCUGCUAGAACCUCCAAAUAAGCUCCCAAGCUCCAUUUGUAGGAGAAUGUAGGUUAGCCAAGCUUCCAAGACUCCAGACACAUCCAAAUGAGGUGCUGCAUGUGGCAGUCUGCCAUUCUUA
ensembl:misc_RNA 7SK 7SK RNA